rnacentral:rRNA from 1 species
AUGGCCAUGGCCCUCCUCCCCUGCCUCCUCCUCCUGGCGUUCGCCGGCGCCCAGGCUCAGCAGAUGGCCUCCUUCCCCGCCGCCAACGACGCCACGCCCUGGCUCCCGACGGAGACCAGCCGCAUCCUCGUCUCGCCGAGUCGCGGCAUGGUCGCCGGCUUCGUGCCGUCGGAGUCGUCCACCGGCAAGUACCGCUUCGCCGUCUGGGUCGCCAACGUCUCCUCCCGCGCAGACGGCAAGACCGUCAUAUGGUACGCGCACAGAGGCUCCAACGCCUCCGACCUCUUCGAGGCCGACGGCAGCUCCACCCUCGUCGUCAACGCCGCCGGCGUGCUCACUUGGGCCGGGGCCGGCACCAACACCACCAUCUGGACCCUGCCCAACGGCACCAACGCCACGGCUCCUAGGCUGACGCUCAACGACACGGGGAGCCUCAUCUUCGGUUCCUGGUCGAGCUUCGGGUAUCCCACCCACACGCUCAUGCCGGGGCAGGCCAUACCGCAGGGCAACAACGGCACGGGCACCGAUGUCCCCACGCUGCAGUCUGCCAACGGACGCUACCGGCUCGUCAACUCCAUGGCGCUCAAGUACUUCUCCGGCGCGGACCCCUCGGGCUCCAUCUACGCCAACAUGAGCGGCGGUGGCACGCUGCUGAACCUCACCACCGAGGGCGAGCUGAAGCUCAGCGCCGGGAACCCGACGACGCUCAUCGCCUCCGACAAGGGCGCCAGAGACCGGCUGCGGCGCCUCACGCUCGAUGACGAUGGCAACCUGCGCCUCUACAGCCUGCUCCCGGCGAGGCGUGAGUGGCGCGUCGUGUGGGAGCUCGUGCAGGAGCUCUGCACCAUCCAGGGCACCUGCCCCGGCAACAACACCAUCUGCGUCCCCAAGGGCGCCGACGGCGUCACCUGCGUCUGCCCGCCCGGCUUCCGCAACAGGACCGGUGCAGGGGGCGGCUGCGAGGCCAAGAAGAGCGUGGCGGGCGCCGGCGGCAAGUUCGUCCGGUUGGACUUCGUGUCCUUCUCCGGCGGCGCGCCCAAAAAGUCCUCCGAUCCUGGCCCGUACAUGUCCAAGCAGCCUCCCAGUAACCUGGAGGUGUGCAGGAAAAUGUGCCGGGACGACCCCGGCUGCCCGGCGUUCGGCUACAAGUUCGGCGGCGACCGGACGUGCCUCCUGUACAAGACGCGGCUCGUGGACGGAUACUGGUCGCCGGGGACGGAGAUGUCCACCUUCGUGCGGGUGGCGGAGACGGACAACGACACGAACCCGUUCACGGGAAUGACGACCAUGAUCGACACGGUGUGCCCGGUGCAGCUGGCGCUGCCGGUGCCGCCGAAGCAGAAGGCGACGACCAUCCGCAACAUCGCCAUCAUCACGACGCUGUUCGCGGUGGAGCUGCUGGCGGGGGUGCUGUCCUUCUGGGCGUUCCUGCGCAAGUACUCGCAGUACCGCGAGAUGGCGCGCACGCUGGGGCUGGAGUACCUCCCCGCCGGCGGGCCCCGGCGGUUCUCGUACGCGGAGCUGAAGACGGCGACCAAGGACUUCACGGACGUGGUGGGGCGCGGCGCGUACGGCACGGUGUUCCGCGGCGAGCUCCCCGACCGGCGCGCGGUGGCGGUGAAGCAGCUGCACGGCGUGGGCGGCGGCGAGGCGGAGUUCUGGGCGGAGGUAACCAUCAUCGCGCGGAUGCACCACCUGAACCUGGUGCGCAUGUGGGGGUUCUGCGCGGACAAGGACCAGCGCAUGCUGGUGUACGAGUACGUGCCCAACGGGUCGCUGGACAAGUACCUCUUCUCCAGCUCCUCGUCGGCGGCGCCGUCUCAAGGCGAGGGCGGCGAGGAGAGCUCGCAAGGUGAAGGGCAGCAGCAGCAGGUGAUGCUGGACCUGCACACCCGGUACCGGAUCGCGCUGGGCGUGGCGCGGGCGAUCGCGUACCUGCACGAGGAGUGCCUGGAGUGGGUGCUGCACUGCGACAUCAAGCCGGAGAACAUCCUGCUGGAGGACGACUUCUGCCCCAAGGUGUCGGACUUCGGGCUGUCCAAGCUGACGAGCAAGAAGGAGAAGGUGACCAUGUCGCGGAUCCGGGGCACGCGCGGGUACAUGGCGCCCGAGUGGGUGAUCCACCGGGAGCCCAUCACGGCCAAGGCGGACGUGUACAGCUUCGGCAUGGUGCUGCUGGAGAUCGUGUCCGGGCGGCGCAACUACGGCUUCCGGCAGGAGUCGGUGGGCAGCGAGGACUGGUACUUCCCCAAGUGGGCGUACGAGAAGGUGUACGUGGAGCGGCGCAUCGAGGACAUCAUGGACCCCCGCAUCCUCCUCGCCGUCGACGACGACGCCGACAGCGUCGCCACCGUCGAGCGCAUGGUCAAGACGGCCAUGUGGUGCCUCCAGGACCGCGCCGACAUGCGCCCCUCCAUGGGCAAGGUCGCCAAGAUGCUCGAGGGCACCGUCGAGAUCACCGACCCCGUCAAGCCCACCAUCUUCUGCGUCCAGGACGACUAA